rnacentral:rRNA from 1 species
UACGUAGGGUGCGAGCGUUGUCCGGAAUUACUGGGCGUAAAGAGCUCGUAGGUGGUUUGUCGCGUUGUCCGUGAAAUUCCCUGGCUUAACUGGGGGCGUGCGGGCGAUACGGGCAGACUGGAGUACUGCAGGGGAGACUGGAAUUCCUGGUGUAGCAGUGAAAUGCGUAGAUAUCAGGAGGAACACCGAUGGCGAAGGCAGGUCUCUGGGCUGA